UCAUAGGGACUUAAAUGACUACAAAUCAUCUUUAUGUAUGAGGGAUAGCUUCUUCAGGACCAGCCAAAGAAGACAACCUGAGGAAGACUUCUCAACCAGAAAAAGAAUAAUACACGUUGUUGGAUCAACCCCUGAGCUCCUGAUGCAGUUGGAAAAUCAUUUCCGGUUAAGAGUAUGUUUUGCGCCAUUAUUAACCACAGCUGCCAGUAUUUUACCAAAUAUUUAAUACUGAAAUUCUAUCUACCACUUUUAACGUAUAUUACAAAAGAAAAUUCUAUCAACCACAGAUGGCAGUAUUUUUCCAUAUGUAUUAUCAUGAAAUUCGAUGGAUAUGGAUUGUUAGUCGGUGCUGGGUUAACUCCUCAGUGCCUGGUGCAGGUGGACAGUUGUUUCCGGUUGAGAGUAAGCUGUGAGUGAUUGGCUGAUACUUCUGACCUGUUUGUCUCACCUUUUUCAUAUUUUUUCAGUCUUUUUUAUUUUUCAGGAUGACCAAUAUGGGUCUAGUGCUUGGAGGGACUUCAGGGACUGUGGGUUUUCUUCAAGGAUGAGGGAUAGCUCCUUCAGGACCAGCCAAAGAAGACAACCUGAGGAGGACUUCUCACCCAGGAAAGGAAAAAUACAUGGUGCUGGAUCAACUCCCGAGCUUCUAAUGCAGGAUGACCAAUAUGGGUCUAGUGCCUGGAGGGACUUUAGGGACUGUGGGUUCUCUUUAAGGAUGAGGGAUAGCCCCUUCAGGACCAGCCAAAAAAGACGACCUGAGGAAGUCAUCUCACCCAGAAAAGGAAUAAUACACGGUGCUGGAUCAACUCCUGAGCUCCUGAUGCAGUACGACCAAUAUGGGUCCAGUGCCUGGAGGGACUUCAGGGACUGCAGGUUCUCUUCAGAGAUGAGGGAUAGCCCCUUCAGAACCAGCCAAAGAAGACAACAUGAGGAAGUCAUCUCACCCAGGAAAGGAAUAAUACACGGUGCUGGACCAGAACUCCAGAGCUCCUGAUGCAGGCUCCUAUACCGUGUCAGGCCGACCCAUAUGGGUUCUGUGCCCAGGUGGACUAUGGGUACUGGGGGUCCUAUCCACUGAGGGGGUGUACCCCUUGUGGGGUCAGCCAUAGAAGUCCUCCUAUACAGUGUCAGGAAGACCAAUAUGGGUUCAAUGCCCAGGUGGACUAUGGGGACUGGGGGUUGUAUCCACUGAGGAGGUGUACUCCCUUCUGGACCAGCCAAAGAAGACGACCUGAGGAGAGACAACCCGAGGAAAACACCUGGCACUAGGUGAACUCCUCAGUGUCUGAUGCAGUGGACGAUUGUUUCUUUAUUAUUAUAAAAUAUUAUAUAAUAUUACAUAAUAUUAUAUUAUAUUAUAUAUGUCUAAUUUAUAAAUAUCUAUUGUACUUACAUCUCUUGUGUGUGUGUGUGUGUGUGUGUGUGUAUGUGUGUGUGAGUGCUGAGUGUAAAUGUUAAAAAUGGAUUACUAUAUUAUAUUAUAUUAUAUUAUAUUAUAGUGGCGUAAAAAGGUAUCCCCCCCCACACACACAGAUUUCUUUUAUCUAAUAACUUGGUUGUGUCACCUUUGGCAGCAACUACUGGAAUCAAGCUUUACCAAUAACUGACAAUGAGGCUUUUACAUCUCUGUGGAGGAAUUUUGUUCUGCUCUUCUUUACAGAAUUGUUUCAAUUCAGACACACUGGAGGAUUUUCCAGCAAAAGCAUCCCGUUUAAGAUCAUCCACAGCAUCUCAAUCAGACUUUAACUAGGACACUCCAAAACCUUCAUUUUGUUUAAGUUUUUAAGUUUUGGAUCAUUGUCCUGCUGCACCUGAGCUUGAGGUCAUGAACAGAUGGCCGGACAUUCUCCUUCAAGAUUGUUUGAUAAACAGCAGAAUUCCUGGUUCCAUUAAUUACAGCAAGUUGUUCAGGCCCUGAAGCAGCAAAGCAGCCCCAGACCAUCACACUACCACCACCAUGUUUUACAUUCAGUAUGAUGUUCUUUUUCUAAAAUUAUGU
ensembl:lncRNA